rnacentral:piRNA from 2 species
AAGACAGAAAUCUGAGCAACAUCCAUGUG